rnacentral:rRNA from 1 species
UGGGGGAUAUUGCACAAUGGGCGAAAGCCUGAUGCAGCAACGCCGCGUGAGGGAAGACGGUUUUCGGAUUGUAAACCUCUGUCUUUGGUGAAGAAACAAAUGACGGUAGCCGAGGAGGAAGCCACGGCUAACUACGUGCCAGCAGCCGCGGUAAUACGUAGGUGGCAAGCGUUGUCCGGAAUUACUGGGUGGAAAGGGAGCGCAGGCGGGGAGACAAGUCAGCGGUGAAAACUAUGGGCUUAACCCAUAAACUGCAGUUGAAACUGUUUUUCUUGAGUGGAGUAGAGGUAGGCGGAAUGCCGAGUGUAGCGGUGAAAUGCGUAGAUGUUCGGAGGAACACCAGUGGCGAAGGCGGCCUACUGGGCUCUAACUGACGCUGAGGCUCGAAAGUGUGGGGAGCAAACA